rnacentral:rRNA from 1 species
CGGCGUGCCUAACACAUGCAAGUCAACUUGACUGAAGGAGCAAUCUGACAGUAGAGUGGCGCAAGGGUGCGUAACGCGUAAGUAACUUGCCCAAGGUAAGGAAUAACGUCGAGAAAUCGGCGCUAAUACCUCAUAAUGCAGCGGAUCCGCAUGGAUAUGUUGUUAAAGGUUUACCGCCUUGGGAUAGGCUUGCGUCUGAUUAGUUAGUUGGUGUGGUAACGGCACACCAAGGCUACGAUCAGUAACUGGUCUGAGAGGAUGAUCAGUCACACUGGAACUGAGACACGGUCCAGACUCCUACGGGAGGCAGCAGUGAGGAAUAUUGGGCAAUGCUCGAAAGAGUGACCCAGCAACGCCGCGUGGAGGAUGAAGGUAUUCUAUAUCGUAAACUCCUGUGAGAGCAGACGAAAGACAGAUUAUUAAUCUGGAUGACUGUAUGCUCAGAGGAAGCCCCGGCUAACUACGUG